UACAGAGGGGGCAAGCGUUGUUCGGAAUUACUGGGCGUAAAGGGUUCGUAGGUGGCUCGCUAAGUCAGACGUGAAAUCCCUCAGCUUAACUGGGGAACUGCGUCUGAGACUGGCGAGCUUGAGUGCAGGAGAGGAACGCGGAAUUCCAGGUGUAGCGGUGAAAUGCGUAGAUAUCUGGAGGAACACCGGUGGCGAAGGCGGCGUUCUGGACUGCAACUGACACUGAGGAACGAAAGCCAGGGUAGCAAACGGG
rnacentral:rRNA from 1 species